UGGAAACAAGUGCUAAUACCGCAUAACAACUUGGACCGCAUGGUCCGAGCUUGAAAGAUGGCUUCGGCUAUCACUUUUGGAUGGUCCCGCGGCGUAUUAGCUAGAUGGUGGGGUAACGGCUCACCAUGGCAAUGAUACGUAGCCGACCUGAGAGGGUAAUCGGCCACAUUGGGACUGAGACACGGCCCAAACUCCUACGGGAGGCAGCAGUAGGGAAUCUUCCACAAUGGACGAAAGUCUGAUGGAGCAACGCCGCGUGAGUGAAGAAGGGUUUCGGCUCGUAAAACUCUGUUGUUAAAGAAGAACAUAUCUGAGAGUAACUGUUCAGGUAUUGACGGUAUUUAACCAGAAAGCCACGGCUAACUACGUGCCAGCAGCCGCGGUAAUACGUAGGUGGCAAGCGUUGUCCGGAUUUAUUGGGCGUAAAGCGAGCGCAGGCGGUUUUUUAAGUCUGAUGUGAAAGCCUUCGGCUCAACCGAAGAAGUGCAUCGGA
rnacentral:rRNA from 2 species